rnacentral:rRNA from 1 species
UACAGAGGGUGCUAGCGUUGUUCGGAAUCAUUGGGCGUAAAGGGCGUGUAGGCGGUUUGUUAAGUCAUGUGUGAAAUCCCUCGGCUCAACCGAGGAAUGGCGCUUGAUACUGCACGGCUUGAGGGAGACAGGGGUAAGCGGAACUGAUGGUGGAGCGGUGAAAUGCGUUGAUAUCAUCAGGAACACCGGUGGCGAAAGCGGCUUACUGGGUCUCAUCUGACGCUGAGGAACGAAAGCUAGGGGAGCGAACGGG